rnacentral:antisense_RNA from 1 species
UUCAAUGGCAGCGUGCGUGGGAGAACCUUCAGGUUCGCCGUUUCUUGUUGAGCGGUAGUUCCAAUCCCAUGUACGCUGUCGCCCUC